CUCUACCAAAUCAUCAACUUGGUGUACAAGAAGUUCAUUGAGUUUUAAAAACAAAUGACGCUGCAGUGAAGGAAUCAGCAUGAUUUUGGUACUAAGUUGACAUGGCACUCCUAUGUUCUAGCAGCUGGCUCAGUGCUUCCCUGCUUGUAACAGUGAGGAGCACAGACAGACCACAUGAGCAGCUUGGAAAGAGCAUCCUGUUGAAGAUGUGGUGUGGAGACCCAGCUGUGUCAGUCUGGAUGGUACAGUGCUGCAGCUGGUGUUGUGAAUCAGGCCGUCACCGAUCAGAGAACGGCUACUUCACAACACCAGGGUUGCACCCUACCACAGUCAACUGGGAACCUGGAGAAAAGAUUUUCGAUGCACAGACAUCAGCAAAUGUAUCCUUAGUUGCUACCCCAAGGCCCAGAUCCACAAAGGUAUUUAGACACCUAACUCCCAUUGGAAUCAGUGGGAUUUAGGUACCUAAAUAGGGGAUAGGCACCGAAGUACAUUUUUUUCGAUCUGGCCAUAAGUCCCUAAAGGUAGCCUGUCUUGCAGUGUAGGGUCUUUGUUCAGCAGGCAUGUAAGAGUUACUGUAAGAUGCACUGCCAAUAAAUUGUUAUUUUAAUAUUAA